UGGAAAGCCUUUGAUGCUAUGUGUU
rnacentral:piRNA from 1 species